rnacentral:lncRNA from 1 species
AGCAAAGAAGUUUGAGCCAAAGACUCAGUGAUAUUUGUGAACUUGAUUCGUGUCCUCUAAAAUGUACAAUUGCUGUGAUGAUGGCACAUACCCGAUCACAGAAUUAAACUGCAUUGUGAGUUUGUGCCACAGCCCAUGGUGAUGGAAAAGGAGAUUGAACCUAAAGAUUCUCCAGGACUGGAGCUCUGUCUACUAUUUGCUAAUGAACUUUAGAGGCUGCCUGUGGGAGUGAAAUUGUUAUAGUGUAUCAUAUUGGUGGUUAAUCAGAAUUUAUAACCACAGGAAAUAGUUUUAUAAUUCUGGACUUCUUGUAUAAAAUUCUGUUGGGGUAGAGUGUGUUUUUCGUACUUCUCUGACAAAGAUGCAUCUGGUACUUCCCAGGCCAUUUAUCUGACCUGAGUUUUCCAGUUUAAUCGGAUUGAGGGAGAAGGGAGGGAUUCCCAUGAUCCGUCAAGGAAAGAGUAUUUUAGCAAUAAUUUUGCCUUUAAAAACGCUAAAAUCUAAAGAGAGUAAAGAUCAAAUCUGGAAUAAAUAUUUGAAAUAAA